GUACGUCAGACUUCCAAGAAAAGCUCGCAAUGUCAUAAAUAAAAAUGCCUGUACCAUAACCGACACAGGUGGGUAGGUAGAGUAUACUAAGGGGCGCGAGAUAACUCUCUCUAAGGAACUCGGCAAAAUGACUCCGUAACUUCGGGAGAAGGAGUGCCUUAUUUAUAAGGUUGCAAUAACAAGAUCCAAGCAACUGUUUAUCAAAAACACAGGUCUCCGCUAAGUCGUAAGACGAUGUAUGGGGGCUGACGCCUGCCCAGUGCCAGAAGGUUAAAGAAGUUGGUUAGUGUAUGCGAAGCUGAUGACUGAAGCCCUGGUGAACGGCGGCCGUAACAAUAACGGUCCUAAGGUAGCGAAAUUCCUUGUCGGGUAAGUUCCGACCCGCACGAAAGGCGUAAUGAUUUGGAUACUGUCUCGGAGAGAGGCUCGGUGAAAUAGACUUGUCUGUGAAGAUGCGGACUACCUGCACCAGGACAGAAAGACCCUAUGAAGCUUUACUGUAACUUGAAAUUGGAAUUGGACUUUGCUUGCGCAGUAUAGGUGGGAAGCGUUGAAGGUAUUCUUGCGGGAGUAUUGGAGCUAUCAGUGAGAUACCACUCUUGUAAUGUUAGAUUUCUAACUUUGAACCAUAAUCUGGUCAAAGAACAGUUUCAGGUGGGCAGUUUGACUGGGGCGGUCGCCUCCCAAAUGGUAACGGAGGCGUACAAAGGUUUCCUCUGAACGGAUAGAAAUCGUAUCUAGAGUGUAAAGGCAUAAGGAAGCUUGACUGUGAGACCUACAAGUCGAGCAGGGACGAAAGUCGGUCUUAGUGAUCUGACGGUACUGAGUGGAAAGGCCGUCACUCAACGAAUAAAAGUUACUCUAGGAUAACAGGCUGAUCUCCCCCAAGAGUUCACAUCGACGGGGAGGUUUGGCACCUCGAUGUCGGCUCAUCGCAUCCUGGGGCGGUAGUACGUCCCAAGGGUUGGGCUGUUCGCCCAUGAAAGCGGUACGCGAGCUGGGUUCAGAACGUCGUGAGACAGUUCGGUCCAUAUCCGGUGUAGGCGUUAGAAUAUUGAGAGGAGCCUUCUUUAGUACGAGAGGACCGAGAAGGGCACACCGCUGGUGUACCAGUUAUCGUGCCAACGGUAAACGCUGGGUAGCUAUGUGUGGAGUGGAUAACCGCUGAAAGCAUCUAAGUGGGAAGCCCACCUCAAGAUGAGUAUUC
rnacentral:rRNA from 1 species